rnacentral:rRNA from 1 species
GAUGAACGCUGGCGGCGUGCUUAACACAUGCAAGUCGAACGGAGCACCCCUGACGGAGUUUUCGGACAACGAAAGGGAAUGCUUAGUGGCGGACGGGUGAGUAACGCGUGAGUAACCUGCCUUGGAGUGGGGAAUAACAGCCGGAAACGGCUGCUAAUACCGCAUGAUGUAUCUGGAUCGCAUGGUUCUGGAUACCAAAGAUUUAUCGCUCUGAGAUGGACUCGCGUCUGAUUAGCUAGUUGGUGAGGUAACGGCUCACCAAGGCGACGAUCAGUAGCCGGACUGAGAGGUUGCGGCACAUUGGGACUGAGACACGGCCCAGACUCCUACGGGAGGCAGCAGUGGGGAAUAUGGGCAAAUGGGCGAAAGCCUGACCCAGCAACGCCGCGUGAAGGAAGAAAGGCCCUCGGGUUGUAAACUUCUUUUGUCAGGGACGAAGCAAGUGACGGUACCUGACGAAUAAGCCACGGCUAAACUACGUGCCAGCAGCC